rnacentral:misc_RNA from 1 species
AACUGAUACUACCUGCGGGAACCUGCGGAAGGAUCAUUACCGAGUUCUCGCCCCUCGCGGGGUAGACCUCCCACCCACUGUGAUCACUACCGUCGUUGCUUUGGCGGGCCGCUGGGCCCAGCCCACCGCCGGCUCCGGCUGGCGCGUGCCCGCCAGAGGCCCUACAAACGCUGGAUAUCAGUGCCGUCUGAGUACACAUGUUAAUCGUUAAAACUUUUAACAAUGGAUCUCUAGAUCGGA